GAUCGAUUUUCGUACAUAUUAUAACAUCGCACCAUGCAAAACGGUCUGUAAAUCGAAACUACCGCAUAACGAACCGACUUGCGUGUGCGUGUUUUACCAACUAUCCACCAACCCUUAAUAUAGGUACACUCAUGUUUGCCUUAAUGCGAUUUUGUUUAAUCAAUCGAUCGAAAACUCGUACAAUCUAGAAUUUAAGUCAAACUGACUAAUUUUGUCCAAACACAACCUUUCCGCCGGGUACGGAGUUUUUUCCGUGCAAAUAAUUUUUAUAUAUAUAUAUAUAUGUAUACACGCCAUCGCAAACGUUCAGUUUUGCUUUAAUGUAUAUAAAUACUAUACCGUACGGAGGAUAUACUGUUGGU